rnacentral:rRNA from 1 species
GACGAACGCUGGCGGCGUGCCUAAUACAUGCAAGUCGAACGCACGAAGUUGAAGAGCUUGCUCUUUAACCAAGUGAGUGGCGGACGGGUGAGUAACACGUGGGUAACCUGCCCAUUAGAGGGGGAUAACAUUCGGAAACGGAUGCUAAUACCGCAUAGUUUCAGGGAUCGCAUGAUUCUUGAGGGAAAGGUGGCUCCGGCUACCACUAAUGGAUGGACCCGCGGCGUAUUAGCUAGUUGGUGAGGUAAUGGCUCACCAAGGCAAUGAUACGUAGCCGACCUGAGAGGGUGAUCGGCCACACUGGGACUGAGACACGGCCCAGACUCCUACGGGAGGCAGCAGUAGGGAAUCUUCCGCAAUGGACGAAAGUCUGACGGAGCAACGCCGCGUGAGUGAAGAAGGUUUUCGGAUCGUAAAACUCUGUUGUUAAAGAAGAACAAGGAUGAGAGUAACUGCUCAUCCCCUGACGGUAUUUAACCAGAAAGCCACGGCUAACUACGUGCCAGCAGCCGCGGUAAUACGUAGGUGGCAAGCGUUGUCCGGAUUUAUUGGGCGUAAAGCGAGCGCAGGCGGUUCUUUAAGUCUGAUGUGAAAGCCCCCGGCUCAACCGGGGAGGGUCAUUGGAAACUGGAGAACUUGAGUGCAGAAGAGGAGAGUGGAAUUCCACGUGUAGCGGUGAAAUGCGUAGAUAUGUGGAGGAACACCAGUGGCGAAGGCGACUCUCUGGUCUGUAACUGACGCUGAGGCUCGAAAGCGUGGGGAGCAAACAGG